rnacentral:rRNA from 1 species
GAUGAACGCUGGCGGCGUGCCUAAUACAUGCAAGUCGAGCGAACGGACGAGAAGCUUGCUUCUCUGAUGUUAGCGGCAGACGGGUGAGUAACACGUGGAUAACCUACCUAUAAGACUGGGAUAAAUUCGGGAAACCGGAGCUAAUACCGGAUAAUAUUUUGAACCGCAUGGUUCAAAAGUGAAAGACGGUCUUGCUGUCACUUAUAGAUGGAUCCGCGCUGCAUUAGCUAGUUGGUAAGGUAACGGCUUACCAAGGCAACGAUGCAUAGCCGACCUGAGAGGGUGAUCGGCCACACUGGAACUGAGACACGGUCCAGACUCCUACGGGAGGCAGCAGUAGGGAAUCUUCCGCAAUGGGCGAAAGCCUGACGGAGCAACGCCGCGUGAGUGAUGAAGGUCUUCGGAUCGUAAAACUCUGUUAUUAGGGAAGAACAUAUGUGUAAGUAACUGUGCACAUCUUGACGGUACCUAAUCAGAAAGCCACGGCUAACUACGUG